CGGCGGACGGGUGAGUAGUGCCUAGGAAUCUGCCUGGUAGUGGGGACAACGUUUCGAAAGGAACGCUAAUACCGCAUACGUCCUACGGGAGAAAGCAGGGGACCUUCGGGCCUUUCGCUAUCAGAUGAGCCUAGGUCGGAUUAGCUAGUUGGUGAGGUAAUGGCUCACCAAGGCGACGAUCCGUAACUGGUCUGAGAGGAUGAUCAGUCACACUGGAACUGAGACACGGUCCAGACUCCUACGGGAGGCAGCAGCC
rnacentral:rRNA from 1 species